rnacentral:rRNA from 1 species
UACGAAGGGGGCUAGCGUUGUUCGGAAUUACUGGGCGUAAAGCGUACGUAGGCGGAUUGUUAAGUGAGGGGUGAAAUCCCGAGGCUCAACCUCGGAACUGCCUUUCAUACUGGCAAUCUUGAGUCCGGGAGAGGUGAGUGGAACUCCUAGUGUAGAGGUGAAAAUUCGUAGAUAUUAGGAAGAACACCAGUGGCGAAGGCGGCUCACUGGCCCGGAACUGACGCUGAGGUACGAAAGCGUGGGGAGCAAACAGGG